UCCGCGGCGUCCCUAAUAAAGUGGCUCGCUCACUAUCGAACCUCCACGCCCAGCUCGCUCUCGGCGCUGCGCUCGAUCGUCUGGUGGACCAGGCCGACUUCCCGUUGGCUCAGCGUGCGCUCCGUGUGGCAGUAGACGAUGCGGAAGCAGUGGCUCCGCCUCCCGCUCCUGCCAGACAAAAGACGGGGAGAAAUCGGUCUCGACACUCCGCUUCUUCCUCCUCCUCCUCCUCCGCUGCCAGCAGCGUGUCAAUUAUUCAAGGUGGUUGUGUUCCAAAUGUCACACAAAGACGAGUGAAUGCGUUCCAUGUGAUCGACUCUGUCGUCCGUCAAUAAUUCAUGUCUCCAUUAUCCUGAAGAUCAAUACCGGGACACCUGAAUGCUGUACACGCUAAAGUAUCCCGUGUUACAAACGUAGGUGUGGUCAUGUGACUAGCCCAUCAUAACUGUGAAUAAUUCACGUGACAUUUUCCCUCUCUGCUAAUUGCUCGUUAAGAGCCCCACUUGACCUUUAAUGAGCCUUUAAAGCGCCUCUGGUGGUCAGCCCCCCUCCCCUCCCCCUUUCGCCCCCCCGUGGGACAUUGAACUACUUCCUGUCUCGGCAAGAAGCUCCCGCGUGUCAGGAAGUGCUCCUUCCUGUGUUAAAAGCCUCAUCUGUGGAAGGGUCUGUCCAUCCUGUGCAACGUGAGCCAUCUCCGUGUCAGAAGUUCCCAGCAAAGUGGUUUAGAUCCGGGCCUGAGAGGGUCCGUGGCGGUGUCGCGUGACAGCCAGUGGGAGGUAAUGGCUCGUUAGCAUUCCACAAAUGUGCACUUAGUCUGAGUUAUGAUGUCAGAAGUGAUUGUAAUGUGAUGACAACCCGACUCCUCCUGUUGCUCCGCCUACUUAAAAUGAUUGCCAUAAGCUGGCCUGCUUGGCCACGCCCCCUUGCCCUCUCACACAAAUAUAUUUUUUCUCUCUAAAUGUCAAAACCAUUUUUUUUAUUUUUUUUAAAUGUCACCUCCUUAUUUGUCUCCUACAUGCUUCCUUGCAGUGUGUGUGUGUGUGUGUGCACGGGCGCUUACUUUGGGUGCGUGAAGUCGUCCACCAGCGACACCCUCUCCACCAGGUCCCCGGCGAUGGAGCGCACCAGCUCGUAGAAGUCGUUGGCGUCGAAGUGGCGCCCGUCCGCUGGCAGCCAGAAGGAAAUGUCGUUGUGCAGGGGCGGAUACUUGCUGAGGGCCUGACGGGCGCAAACAGGAAGUCGGGAACAUAGACGUAAUGCCAACAAGAAUGACACCCAGGUCAUCAUCUGGACUCUGAAUCAAGUUUGUCCUCCACUUCCUGUUACGAAGACAUGUGCCCUCCUCGCAGUCUCCACCCGCCCACCACGUCCCAGGGGGGACAUCAAACGCUGCUGCUGAGGUAGACGUCUUCAAACACUGCGCUCAUUAAGCUGAGGUGAUGUCUUCAUUGCUGUAAUCGCAUUACUUUGCGACUGGAGGAACACGCACGCACACACAUAGUUGAGUCAGACGUGCACAGAUGGACACAUUCAGCAUCAGAUGUGGCUUGAGGGUGAGGAUGACGACGCUGACAGAGCGGGAUGAAGAAGAUGACGGGGGAGGAAGGUCAUGAUGGCGAGGAUGAUGAAGACGGUGAUGUCAUGCAGUCCUGACAACAGUGCCACCUUUGUCAUCCCUCCAUCCUGGGAGGGGGGCGGAGCUAUGAGGAUGAAAGCGCUGACUCAGCAAGAAGAAUUGAAAAAAAAACAACAACAACAAAAAACAAAGAAAAGAGAAGCGACGCAAAGCCCCGCAGGGGUGACGUCGGACGCCGUUUAAUGAGAGAAGGAUGGAGGUAGGGAGGAAGGGGUCACAUGAUUUAUUCAAAAGGGGGGAUUAAGAUGGAAAGCAAGCACCUGAACACCACCACACACACACACACACACACACACACACACACGCACACACACACACACAGUCCCAGAGGGCCUGGGGCGACAGCUUUGAGAGGCUGUUAAUUGUCACCAACACGACUUUAAUCAGAUUUCAGUAGCCACACACACACACACACACACACACACACAAUAUCCCGCCGGCACGUGCCUGCCCCCUUGUGUCCCGUGGGGUGUGUGUAAAUCAGGUUUUUGGGCGAGGGGGUGUGGCCAUUAGCACAAGUCCCAUAUGUUGGGAGGGGAAACCCGUGGGACACACAAGUGUCUUCGUGCACACACAUUCAUUUAACAUGUGUGUGUGUGCGUGUGUGUGUAAGCUGAUGAAUUAAUAAACGGAGAAGAAGAAAUAGACUCUCUCUCUCUCUCUUUCCAUCUCUCUCUCUCUCUACCACACCCUCCAUCCGUGAAUUAAUGAAGAUGUAAAAUUUUUCCUUCAUCCCUCCUCCUCCUCACCCAUCCAUCAC